UAAUGGUGGCAGAUUCAGUACUUGCUGAUUUUUGGACAGCAGGUUCAGCAAUUGCUGAUGUAAUUGUGGAAUUUUCAGCAGGUGGACAGCAACUGCUGUCUCUAUUUGCAGUAGGUUGAACAGCAGCAAAGUCUGAAUUUUUUACAGUAGUUGCUGUCUCUUGGAUGGCAGAAGCUUCAACAAGUGUUGUUUGGGCAGUAGUUGGUUCAGAUUCAAGUGUAGUGGUGAUUUGUGCAGCAGACUCAACAGCUCGGUCUGUCUCUUCGUCAUCGUCCCAUAUAUCUUGAAGUCUUCCUCUCUUCUUAAUAUGUAUGCGUCCACUGAGUUGACCGCUUGAUCCACUUGCUGUUGGAGAAUUUUCCCAGAAAUUUCCAAUUUCCUCACCAUCUCUUCAAGUUCCAUAUUGGAGUUUUGAGGUGUUGCUUGGGCUUGAUAGUUUUGGUAGUAGUCAGCCCUUGCAUAGCCAUAAUUCGGAUUGUCCCCCCAACAUGGAUUAUAUUGCAGAUCUCUUUGGUAGUCAUGGUAGUGGUCUGUCCUAGCAUAGCCAUAGCUCAGAUUGUCUCCUCAACCUGUAUUGUAUGUGUCAAGGUAGGGAUUAUGUCUUGGUUGUCCAUAGAAUCCUUCAAAUGCAUGUGCUUGUUGAAGUUGUUGAACUUGUCGAGCUUGACUAUAAUUUCUCACAAUAGAGGUUAGUUCAAAAAUUUGAGAAGAGAGAAAAGACAUACUUACCGUAGCCAUGCUUGUAAAUCAGCCCUGGUCAUAAAA
rnacentral:lncRNA from 1 species